rnacentral:misc_RNA from 1 species
GAUGAAGAACGCAGCGAAAUGCGAUAAGUAAUGUGAAUUGCAGAAUUCAGUGAAUCAUCGAAUCUUUGAACGCACAUUGCGCCCGCCAGUAUUCUGGCGGGCAUGCCUGUCUGAGCGUCAUUUCAACCCUCAUGCCCCUAGGGCGUGGUGUUGGGGAUCGGCCAAAGCCCGCGAGGGACGGCCGGCCCCUAAAUCUAGUGGCGGACCCGUCGUGGCCUCCUCUGCGAAGUAGUGAUAUUCCGCAUCGGAGAGCGAUGGGCCCCUGCCGUUAAACCCCCAACUUUCCAAGGUUGACCUCAGAUCAGGUAGGAAUACCCGCUGAACUUAAGCAUAUCAAUAAGCGGAGGA